rnacentral:lncRNA from 8 species
UGUAACUGUAACGGAUUACAUUUAGAAAGUAACCUACCCAACCCUGUGUGCAGGUUCUAGAUACGCAGACUGUGCAGGAAUGGCAACACAUGCAGGUUCCUCCAUGGGCACAUGAGAGAUUCAAGGUUGUCCAACAAGUGCAACUAUGAUCCUUUUUCCACUAGGUUUCUACCCCCCUUUGGAAUGAGAUAUCACGGUAUGGUAUAACUAUGAGGCGUGAUAGGGGUCACAUUGAAUAGAAUCAUACACUGUAAAGGGGUUGCCCUGAAAUUGUCAGUAAUUUACAGGUAGCUCAUUGGCAAGUAAGUUACUGUAUUUGAUAUUGCAGUACAGCUACUGUAAUCCUAAUACAGUCUCAAAGCAAGUAACUGUGUAAUGACAUAAUACAAUACUGUAAAAUGAACUGUAUUGUACUGUAUUUGCAUUGAAUGAAUAGAUGAAUGAAAUUAAUUGAGGGGAGAUGGGGUUUGUAUUUCACAGUAUUUUACUGUAAUUACAAGGGAUUGGUGCUUUUAGGUUGGCUGCUAGGUAAUGUGUUUACACGUGUGUUUACACAUUGCGGCAUAUCAAUUAAUAUUUUGUGUUUUACAUCAGUUGCGUUUAAGGCCUUAACAAAGGCUACCAAACUGGCAGCAACUACAAGGUAAAACAGACCAAUAGGACAUGGCAAAAUGCUCAACCAUGAAGGUUUAAUAGUUGCUGCUACUCCAAUCUGUCCCCUAUACAUUUUAAAUUGAUGGUACGCUACUACCACAUAUCAGUUAAAUUGGUACAGCACUCUCAGUAAAGGGUGCAAGAAAUGUAGCCACUUACAAAGCAUGCCUCAAAAUAUGUUAAUAAGCCAGAACCACAAUACCAUGCAUCCACUAGUGGACACAAGGUUUUUGUCGCUCCACAAAUACAGUAAGGUGCUGUAUUCUGUGGGAUGGAGUUACAAUACCAUUUCAAAUACAGAAAUUCUUUCCCCGCCCACAAUAUUUUACCACAAUGCACCAUAAUUUACAGUUGCUGCAGUAAAAUAUUUGACCGUAUUUUUCUGUUGAUAAUACCCCAAAUUACCAAUAUAAAUUAUAGUUUUCCAUUACAGUGUGGGGCAAUUAGAGUAUGGACGUUGACUAGUGAAAGUAGUAAUCUUUUUUGUCUUUGUCCAAUCAAUCAGUGGACUACAAUGACUGGGAGUACCCCCUGGAGUACCCUGUUCAUUGGAUCACCCCCCAGAAGACUUCAAGUCUGCCCAUUCUACAACAGGGGAUUUUGCAUCCGUGGCCCUAAGUGCAGACGUCCCCAUAUCCCUGGGUUGAUGAUGUGUCCCAGGCACCUGAUUGGCUUCUAUCCAUAUGGAGCAGACUGCAGUUUGUCAGUAAGAUGCCCCUUCUUCUCAUGAGAUGAUGUGCAUUUUUAACUAGUCAACUUUAAGACCCUGUUGGGCUAUAAUUUGAAAUACUUGCUAUACUAGAAGCUAAUGGUUAUAUGUAUGAGGAAUGUAUAUGGUGGGGUCAAUGGAGGUUGGAUAAGAGCCAUGGGCCUGGAAAGUUACUAAGUAAGGGAAAAGGCAAUUACAUGGCUGCGGUCACUGAUAAUGGUGGAUAGCUGUGGAUUAGUGAGGAAUGUGGGCUGAGGUGAGGUCAGGUCACAUGAUGGGAGAAGGAACAGUUUAUUACACACAUCACUUAAGUUCCUGCCUAGCAACAGAGAUGUAUUGGCUGUCUAGAUGUGCAAGGAUUUGACUCUGCUCAGUAGAGGGUAUAAAUAUAUGUAUUUGUGGAAACAUGUCUUUGUCUUUGCAGCUGUUUGACUCAGUGGGUGAAUAAACUUAGUUUGAGCUUUUCCUAGUCGUCCGUUUAUUUAGAACCUAAAAACCCCAAAUUGAUUUUAUUCCUGUUUACUUACUUGUUUGAUUGCUCUGUUUUUCUUUUUUCAAUCUUCAGCCCAAAAUGGCAGAUGAUACCCAGGAUCUACAACACUGAUCACUCAAAGGUUGGUGCCACUGAGGUCAAGCCUAACAUACACUAGCUUACUGUAGUAGAUGUAACAAAUUACUAUCUAUCUAUACACAAAUCUAUCAAACUCUAUUUCUUUAUGAUGUUUGUCUUUACUUCCCUCAAAAGCAUAGAGAACAUCAACCAUCAGAUUAGACACCAGCAUGAAACCUACUCCAGGCAACACCACUCUAGCCCAACCUACUUCAGCCACCACAACUCAGACUCCCUAUGGUAACCUGCUACAAGGUAAGACUUGCUCAUCUAGACACCAUUAGAUAUGUGUUG